UACGAAGGGGGCUAGCGUUGUUCGGAAUCACUGGGCGUAAAGCGCACGUAGGCGGAUCGUUAAGUCGGGGGUGAAAUCCCAGGGCUCAACCCUGGAACUGCCUUCGAUACUGGCGAUCUUCGAGUCCGGGAGAGGUGAGUGGAACUCCGAGUGUAGAGGUGAAAUUCGUAGAUAUUCGGAAGAACACCAGUGGCGAAGGCGGCUCACUGGCCCGGUACUGACGCUGAGGUGCGAAAGCGUGGGGAGCAAACAGG
rnacentral:rRNA from 2 species